rnacentral:rRNA from 1 species
UACGUAGGGGGCUAGCGUUGUCCGGAAUCAUUGGGCGUAAAGCGCGCGUAGGCGGCCCGGUAAGUCCGCUGUAAAAGUCCAGGCUCAACCCUGGAACGCCGGUGGAUACUGUCGGGCUAGAGUCCGGAAGAGGCGAGUGGAAUUCCUGGUGUAGCGGUGGAAUGCGUAGAGUAUCAGGAAGAACACCCGUGGCGAAAGCGGCUCUCUGGAACGGUACUGACGCUGAGACGCGAAAGCGUGGGGAGCGAACAGG